UUAAGCGACUAAGCGUACACGGUGGAUGCCCUGGCAGUCAGAGGCGAUGAAGGACGUGCUAAUCUGCGAUAAGCGUCGGUAAGGUGAUAUGAACCGUUAUAACCGGCGAUUUCCGAAUGGGGAAACCCAGUGUGAUUCGUCACACUAUCAUUAACUGAAUCCAUAGGUUAAUGAGGCGAACCGGGGGAACUGAAACAUCUAAGUACCCCGAGGAAAAGAAAUCAACCGAGAUUCCCCAAGUAGCGGCGAGCGAACGGGGAGCAGCCCAGAGCCUGAAUCAGUGUGUGUGUUAGUGGAAGCGUCUGGAAAGGCGCGCGAUACAGGGUGACAGCCCCGUACACAAAAAUGCACAUAUUGUGAGCUCGAUGAGUAGGGCGGGACACGUGGUAUCCUGUCUGAAUAUGGGGGGACCAUCCUCCAAGGCUAAAUACUCCUGACUGACCGAUAGUGAACCAGUACCGUGAGGGAAAGGCGAAAAGAACCCCGGCGAGGGGAGUGAAAAAGAACCUGAAACCGUGUACGUACAAGCAGUGGGAGCACGCUUAGGCGUGUGACUGCGUACCUUUUGUAUAAUGGGUCAGCGACUUAUAUUCUGUAGCAAGGUUAACCGAAUAGGGGAGCCGAAGGGAAACCGAGUCUUAACUGGGCGUUAAGUUGCAGGGUAUAGACCCGAAACCCGGUGAUCUAGCCAUGGGCAGGUUGAAGGUUGGGUAACACUAACUGGAGGACCGAACCGACUAAUGUUGAAAAAUUAGCGGAUGACUUGUGGCUGGGGGUGAAAGGCCAAUCAAACCGGGAGAUAGCUGGUUCUCCCCGAAAGCUAUUUAGGUAGCGCCUCGUGAAUUCAUCUCCGGGGGUAGAGCACUGUUUCGGCAAGGGGGUCAUCCCGACUUACCAACCCGAUGCAAACUGCGAAUACCGGAGAAUGUUAUCACGGGAGACACACGGCGGGUGCUAACGUCCGUCGUGAAGAGGGAAACAACCCAGACCGCCAGCUAAGGUCCCAAAGUCAUGGUUAAGUGGGAAACGAUGUGGGAAGGCCCAGACAGCCAGGAUGUUGGCUUAGAAGCAGCCAUCAUUUAAAGAAAGCGUAAUAGCUCACUGGUCGAGUCGGCCUGCGCGGAAGAUGUAACGGGGCUAAACCAUGCACCGAAGCUGCGGCAGCGACGCUUAUGCGUUGUUGGGUAGGGGAGCGUUCUGUAAGCCUGUGAAGGUGUACUGUGAGGUAUGCUGGAGGUAUCAGAAGUGCGAAUGCUGACAUAAGUAACGAUAAAGCGGGUGAAAAGCCCGCUCGCCGGAAGACCAAGGGUUCCUGUCCAACGUUAAUCGGGGCAGGGUGAGUCGACCCCUAAGGCGAGGCCGAAAGGCGUAGUCGAUGGGAAACAGGUUAAUAUUCCUGUACUUGGUGUUACUGCGAAGGGGGGACGGAGAAGGCUAUGUUGGCCGGGCGACGGUUGUCCCGGUUUAAGCGUGUAGGCUGGUUUUCCAGGCAAAUCCGGAAAAUCAAGGCUGAGGCGUGAUGACGAGGCACUACGGUGCUGAAGCAACAAAUGCCCUGCUUCCAGGAAAAGCCUCUAAGCAUCAGGUAACAUCAAAUCGUACCCCAAACCGACACAGGUGGUCAGGUAGAGAAUACCAAGGCGCUUGAGAGAACUCGGGUGAAGGAACUAGGCAAAAUGGUGCCGUAACUUCGGGAGAAGGCACGCUGAUAUGUAGGUGAAGCGACUUGCGGAUGGAGCUGAAAUCAGUCGAAGAUACCAGCUGGCUGCAACUGUUUAUUAAAAACACAGCACUGUGCAAACACGAAAGUGGACGUAUACGGUGUGACGCCUGCCCGGUGCCGGAAGGUUAAUUGAUGGGGUCAGCGCAAGCGAAGCUCUUGAUCGAAGCCCCGGUAAACGGCGGCCGUAACUAUAACGGUCCUAAGGUAGCGAAAUUCCUUGUCGGGUAAGUUCCGACCUGCACGAAUGGCGUAAUGAUGGCCAGGCUGUCUCCACCCGAGACUCAGUGAAAUUGAACUCGCUGUGAAGAUGCAGUGUACCCGCGGCAAGACGGAAAGACCCCGUGAACCUUUACUAUAGCUUGACACUGAACAUUGAGCCUUGAUGUGUAGGAUAGGUGGGAGGCUUUGAAGUGUGGACGCCAGUCUGCAUGGAGCCGACCUUGAAAUACCACCCUUUAAUGUUUGAUGUUCUAACGUUGACCCGUAAUCCGGGUUGCGGACAGUGUCUGGUGGGUAGUUUGACUGGGGCGGUCUCCUCCUAAAGAGUAACGGAGGAGCACGAAGGUUGGCUAAUCCUGGUCGGACAUCAGGAGGUUAGUGCAAUGGCAUAAGCCAGCUUGACUGCGAGCGUGACGGCGCGAGCAGGUGCGAAAGCAGGUCAUAGUGAUCCGGUGGUUCUGAAUGGAAGGGCCAUCGCUCAACGGAUAAAAGGUACUCCGGGGAUAACAGGCUGAUACCGCCCAAGAGUUCAUAUCGACGGCGGUGUUUGGCACCUCGAUGUCGGCUCAUCACAUCCUGGGGCUGAAGUAGGUCCCAAGGGUAUGGCUGUUCGCCAUUUAAAGUGGUACGCGAGCUGGGUUUAGAACGUCGUGAGACAGUUCGGUCCCUAUCUGCCGUGGGCGCUGGAGAACUGAGGGGGGCUGCUCCUAGUACGAGAGGACCGGAGUGGACGCAUCACUGGUGUUCGGGUUGUCAUGCCAAUGGCACUGCCCGGUAGCUAAAUGCGGAAGAGAUAAGUGCUGAAAGCAUCUAAGCACGAAACUUGCCCCGAGAUGAGUUCUCCCUGACUCCUUGAGAGUCCUGAAGGAACGUUGAAGACGACGACGUUGAUAGGCCGGGUGUGUAAGCGCAGCGAUGCGUUGAGCUAACCGGUACUAAUGAACCGUGAGGCUUAACCUU
rnacentral:rRNA from 1 species